AUGAAGUUGACGCCGUCAUCACUUCUGUUUUACAAAUGGAGAAACCGAGGCCCUGGUGCUCAGCUGCCCAAGUGCACCCAGGAGCUUCCUGGGAUCGGUCUCCAAACAAACUGUUUGCACCAAAAGCCUCAAAGUAGAAGCUACUUCUGGGCCAGGCUCAAACAACUACAAACUUCAAAUUCAGAAAUCAGAAGACAUGAAUAGUGGAUGAGACUACACACAUGUAUACAUGCAUGUACAUGUGUACAGCACACAGCCUACAGCACAAUGCCUGGCCCUUCACAGAUGCUCAGCAGAUAUUCUUGAAUAAAUGAAUGGCCUUCCUCUUUGCAGCAUUUAUCUCAAGUCCCCAGCAGUUCAGGACAUCAAAUAGAGGUGUCUGAAAGCACAGGCGGGUUUCCUGGGGUGAGAUCUGGGGUCAUUUCAGGAGCCUCUCUGGGGAUGGGAAGGGCAGAGAGCCCUCAUCUUCCACUCUGCUCCUCCCAGCAGUCCAGCCAAUCUCUGCCGGGGGCUUCCCUCCCCCACCAGCUCUCUUGCUGGGCCCCCCACCCCAGCCCAUCUGUUCAGCAUGUGUAAGCAUUGUCAAAUUGUUUGAAUAAAUUGUCACUCCGAUUAAAAUGUUUAUGUCUGCAGGAUGACUCGUUUCUGCUAAAUUGUACCCAAAUAGUCUCACAUUUGCUGUAGAUAUUUGACAUCUGUGUCUGGUCUCCCCACUGACGACCAGAUGGAGAGCUGGAUCCACGCAGAAGCUCCCCUGCUCCCUCGUGCACGCAUUACUUACAACUUGACACCACUCCGGGCUUGGGCCAAGUGGGUCGGGGGGAAGAUAGACUGGGUGUCUUGCCCACCCUGCCCUUGACAAACCUCAUGGGUAAGCACACACACACCAACACCCCACGAGUUUGCUUUUCCUUAGAUCAGACUUAGAUGGCAAGAUAUUCAGUGCCUCUUGGUCAAUAAGGUUGGCUCAAAAAAAUUAAACAAAAAGAUUUUCAGUGCCUUCUCAAAGAUGGUCAAUGUUUACUCUGUGCUAAUAAGUACAGAUAAAGGACAUCCUGAGAAGAAUCCCAUUCACCACUAGGAUUCCAGACAUUCACCGCUAGGAUUCCAGACUCAGCUGGUCAAAGCACCAGCACUUUUGCAAGGUACAGAACUUCCUUGUGAUAUCCCUCACUCUACACGAUGGGUGGCUGAAUUGGAAGGAAGGAAAGGAAGGAAGGAAGGAAGGAAGGAAGGAAGGAAGGAAGGAAGGAAGGAAGGAAGGAAGGAAGGAGAGAGGGAGGGAGGGAGGAGGAUGGAUGGAUGGACAGAUGGAUGGAUGGAUAGAUGAACAUACCAUCCAUUGAACGUCUGCUGGUGUACAUGCAGCAUUUACUUUCUUUAUUACUGGUAAUAAUUACUGUUUUAUUAUUGCAUAACAAAUUACCACAAACUUAGUGUCUUGAGACAACACA
rnacentral:lncRNA from 1 species